CCUGGCCAGGCUGGGGCUGUUCUCACCAGAAAACAAAAAUGUCUUUCAGACCAAAGCAAAACGAGGCCCCAGCUGGCCCAGGCAGGCCAUUGGGCGUUGUUCACACUGACCCACUAUGAACACCAAUCACUGGGGCUCUCACUUUGCACCCACUGGAAGGAACCCAUCAUCUUUGGAGACGGAACUGGAGGCCUCGGUGGCUGCUGAGGAAAGCACUACGCCCCAAGAUUCACAUGAAUUAGGAGCUACACAAAGGAAGUAGGCCCAGGAAUAACCACACCUACCACGGAUCUCCCGAGGCAGCCGAGCAAAUGAUGAGGAACCACCCCUGGGCAUCCUGAAGGACAACCCCAAGGGCUCAAAGCAGCAUCUCAUCCACAGCACUCCCCUAACCCCACCAAUCUGUGGACCCAGUGGAUGGUUAGUGGGAACUCUGGCGAGGCCAACGCAAGGAAUGGGAGCAUCACACCAGACCAUCCAGUGAGGUGAGGACCUUGACUGGGAAUUCCUCUCAUCUAUGCUUGGCAGAGUGGCCCAAGCUCCCAAUCUGUCAGGUGACUGGAACCUUGGAGCUCUAAGGAAGCAGCAGCCCUCAGAGAAGACUCUCUUCCACAAAACUGGUCACCCAGAAGCUGUGGGUUCACUAGUUGAUUCAUUCAUUCAUUCAACAAACACUUCUGGAGCACCUCCUUCUAUUCCAGGCUGCACUGGUUCUCAGCACACAGGGUUCUCCAGUGAAGGGUAACCUGGCCCUGCCUGCAAGGAGUUUACACCUGCUUUUCCCUACUGCUUCUAACAUAUUGGCAUCAUCCCCCACCUGGGCACAGAGCCUAGCAUCCUAGCAGGAGCACACUCAAAAUCUGUUGUUUACUGAUUGACUUGUGGUAAGGAAACAGCUUAUAAAACACAUUAUUAAAAUAAAU
rnacentral:lncRNA from 1 species